UGGGGAAUUUUGGACAAUGGGCGAAAGCCUGAUCCAGCAAUGCCGCGUGUGUGAAGAAGGCCUUCGGGUUGUAAAGCACUUUUGUCCGGAAAGAAAUCCUUGGCUCUAAUGCAGUCGGGGGAUGACGGUACCGGAAGAAUAAGCACCGGCUAACUACGUGCCAGCAGCCGCGGUAAUACGUAGGGUGCAAGCGUUAAUCGGAAUUACUGGGCGUAAAGCGUGCGCAGGCGGUUUGCUAAGACCGAUGUGAAAUCCCCGGGCUCAACCUGGGAACUGCAUUGGUGACUGGCAGGCUAGAGUAUGGCAGAGGGGGGUAGAAUUCCACGUGUAGCAGUGAAAUGCGUAGAGAUGUGGAGGAAUACCGAUGGCGAAGGCAGCCCCCUGGGCCAAUACUGACGCUCAUGCACGAAAGCGUGGGGAGCAAACAGGAUUAGAUACCCUGGUAGUCCACGCCCUAAACGAUGUCAACUAGUUGUUGGGGAUUCAUUUCCUUAGUAACGUAGCUAACGCGUGAAGUUGACCGCCUGGGGGAGUACGGUCGCAAGAUUAAAACUCAAAGGAAUUGACGGGGUCAUAGCUGUUUCCU
rnacentral:rRNA from 1 species